rnacentral:rRNA from 1 species
CGUCAGCUCGUGUCGUGAGAUGUUGGUUAAGUCCCGCAACGAGCGCGAACCCCUAUUGUUAGUUGCCAUCAUUCAGUUGGGCACUCUAGCGAGACUGCCGGUAAUAAACCGGAGGAAGGUGGGGAUGACGUCAAAUCAUCAUGCCCCUUAUGACCUGGGCUACACACGUGCUACAAUGGUUGGUACAACGAGUUGCGAGUCGGUGACGGCGAGCUAAUCUCUUAAAGCCAAUCUCAGUUCGGAUUGUAGGCUGCAACUCGCCUACAUGAAGUCGGAAUCGCUAGUAAUCGCGGAUCAGCACGCCGCGGUGAAUACGUUCCCGGGCCUU